rnacentral:rRNA from 1 species
AGUAUGUCUAUGCCAGGAGCUGGGGUAUGACAGGUGACCCAAGCGGUGUCCGGAGUAAAUGGGAGUAAAGGGUUGGUCUGCUGUGGAGUAAGUCUUACGGCAAAUCACCGAGCUCAACUCGGAAAGGGCGUCGGAUACUUUUCGGCUCGAGGAUUGGAGGGUGGACUGUAAUACUUGGUGUAGCAGUGAAAUGCGUAGAUAUCAAGUGGAACACCAGUGGCGAAGGCGAGUCCCUGUACAAUUCCUGACGCUGAGGCACGAAAGCUAGGGGAGCAAACAGGAUUAGAUACCCGAGUAGUC